rnacentral:rRNA from 1 species
GUCAGCGACCAUACCACGUAGAAAGCACCGGUUCUCGUCCGAUCACCGAAGUUAAACUACGUCGGGCCUGGUUAGUACUUGCAUGGGUGACCGGCUGGGAAUACCCGGUGUUGCUGACUCCU